UUAAGCGACUAAGCGUACACGGUGGAUGCCCUGGCAGUCAGAGGCGAUGAAGGACGUGCUAAUCUGCGAAAAGCGACGGCGAGGUGAUAUGAACCUUUGACCCGUCGAUGUCCGAAUGGGGAAACCCAGUGCAAUCCGUUGCACUAUCGUUAACUGAAUACAUAGGUUAACGAGGCGAACCGGGGGAACUGAAACAUCUAAGUACCCCGAGGAAAAGAAAUCAACCGAGAUUCCCCCAGUAGCGGCGAGCGAACGGGGAGCAGCCCGGAGUCUGAAUCAGCUUGUGUGUUAGUGGAAGCGUCUGGAAAGUCGCACGGUACAGGGUGACAGUCCCGUACACGAAAAUGCACAGGUUGUGAACUCGAAGAGUAGGGCGGGACACGUGGUAUCCUGUCUGAAUAUGGGGGGACCAUCCUCCAAGGCUAAAUACUCCUGACUGACCGAUAGUGAACCAGUACCGUGAGGGAAAGGCGAAAAGAACCCCGGCGAGGGGAGUGAAAAAGAACCUGAAACCGUGUACGUACAAGCAGUGGGAGCACCUUCGGGUGUGACUGCGUACCUUUUGUAUAAUGGGUCAGCGACUUAUAUUCUGUAGCAAGGUUAACCGUAUAGGGGAGCCGCAGGGAAACCGAGUCUUAACUGGGCGUUAAGUUGCAGGGUAUAGACCCGAAACCCGGUGAUCUAGCCAUGGGCAGGUUGAAGGUUGGGUAACACUAACUGGAGGACCGAACCGACUAAUGUUGAAAAAUUAGCGGAUGACCUGUGGCUGGGGGUGAAAGGCCAAUCAAACCGGGAGAUAGCUGGUUCUCCCCGAAAGCUAUUUAGGUAGCGCCUCGUGAAUUCAUCUUCGGGGGUAGAGCACUGUUUCGGCUAGGGGGCCAUCCCGGCUUACCAACCCGAUGCAAACUACGAAUACCGAAGAAUGUUAUCACGGGAGACACACGGCGGGUGCUAACGUCCGUCGUGAAGAGGGAAACAACCCAGACCGCCAGCUAAGGUCCCAAAGUCAUGGUUAAGUGGGAAACGAUGUGGGAAGGCACAGACAGCCAGGAUGUUGGCUUAGAAGCAGCCAUCAUUUAAAGAAAGCGUAAUAGCUCACUGGUCGAGUCGGCCUGCGCGGAAGAUGUAACGGGGCUAAACCAUGCACCGAAGCUGCGGCAGCGACACUAUGUGUUGUUGGGUAGGGGAGCGUUCUGUAAGCCGUUGAAGGUGUGCUGUGAGGCAUGCUGGAGGUAUCAGAAGUGCGAAUGCUGACAUAAGUAACGAUAAAGCGGGUGAAAAGCCCGCUCGCCGGAAGACCAAGGGUUCCUGUCCAACGUUAAUCGGGGCAGGGUGAGUCGACCCCUAAGGCGAGGCCGAAAGGCGUAGUCGAUGGGAAACAGGUUAAUAUUCCUGUACUUGGUGUUACUGCGAAGGGGGGACGGAGAAGGCUAUGUCAGCCGGGCGACGGUUGUCCCGGUUUAAGCGUGUAGGUGUGUGUUCCAGGCAAAUCCGGUUCACUUUAACACUGAGGCGUGAUGACGAGGCACUACGGUGCUGAAGUGAUAAAUGCCCUGCUUCCAGGAAAAGCCUCUAAGCAUCAGGUAACACGAAAUCGUACCCCAAACCGACACAGGUGGUCAGGUAGAGAAUACCAAGGCGCUUGAGAGAACUCGGGUGAAGGAACUAGGCAAAAUGGUGCCGUAACUUCGGGAGAAGGCACGCUGAUAUGUAGGUGAAGUCCCUGCGGACGGAGCUGAAAUCAGUCGAAGAUACCAGCUGGCUGCAACUGUUUAUUAAAAACACAGCACUGUGCAAACACGAAAGUGGACGUAUACGGUGUGACGCCUGCCCGGUGCCGGAAGGUUAAUUGAUGGGGUUAGCGGCAACGCGAAGCUCUUGAUCGAAGCCCCGGUAAACGGCGGCCGUAACUAUAACGGUCCUAAGGUAGCGAAAUUCCUUGUCGGGUAAGUUCCGACCUGCACGAAUGGCGUAAUGAUGGCCAGGCUGUCUCCACCCGAGACUCAGUGAAAUUGAACUCGCUGUGAAGAUGCAGUGUACCCGCGGCAAGACGGAAAGACCCCGUGAACCUUUACUAUAGCUUGACACUGAACACUGGUCCUUGAUGUGUAGGAUAGGUGGGAGGCUUUGAAGCGUGGACGCCAGUCUGCGUGGAGCCGUCCUUGAAAUACCACCCUUUAAUGGCUGGUGUUCUAACGUGGACCCGUAAUCCGGGUUGCGGACAGUGUCUGGUGGGUAGUUUGACUGGGGCGGUCUCCUCCCAAAGAGUAACGGAGGAGCACGAAGGUUAGCUAAUCCUGGUCGGACAUCAGGAGGUUAGUGCAAUGGCAUAAGCUAGCUUGACUGCGAGAGUGACGGCUCGAGCAGGUGCGAAAGCAGGUCAUAGUGAUCCGGUGGUUCUGAAUGGAAGGGCCAUCGCUCAACGGAUAAAAGGUACUCCGGGGAUAACAGGCUGAUACCGCCCAAGAGUUCAUAUCGACGGCGGUGUUUGGCACCUCGAUGUCGGCUCAUCACAUCCUGGGGCUGAAGUAGGUCCCAAGGGUAUGGCUGUUCGCCAUUUAAAGUGGUACGCGAGCUGGGUUUAGAACGUCGUGAGACAGUUCGGUCCCUAUCUGCCGUGGGCGCUGGAGAAUUGAGGGGGGCUGCUCCUAGUACGAGAGGACCGGAGUGGACGCAUCACUGGUGUUCGGGUUGUCAUGCCAAUGGCACUGCCCGGUAGCUAAAUGCGGAAGAGAUAAGUGCUGAAAGCAUCUAAGCACGAAACUUGCCCCGAGAUGAGUUCUCCCUGAGACUUUAAGUCUCCUGAAGGAACGUUGAAGACGACGACGUUGAUAGGCCGGGUGUGUAAGCGCAGCGAUGCGUUGAGCUAACCGGUACUAAUGAACCGUGAGGCUUAACCU
rnacentral:rRNA from 1 species